UAAGGAAUAUUGGUCAAUGGACGGAAGUCUGAACCAGCCAUGCCGCGUGAAGGAUGAAGGUCCUCUGGAUUGUAAACUUCUUUUAUCUGGGAAGAAACCCUCGAAUUCUUUUGAGGUUGACGGUACCAGAGGAAUAAGCACCGGCUAACUCCGUGCCAGCAGCCGCGGUAAUACGGAGGGUGCGAGCGUUAUCCGGAUUCACUGGGUUUAAAGGGUGCGUAGGUGGGUCUGUAAGUCAGUGGUGAAAUCUCCGGGCUUAACCUGGAAACUGCCAUUGAUACUAUAGGUCUUGAAUUUUCUGGAGGUAAGCGGAAUAUGUCAUGUAGCGGUGAAAUGCUUAGAUAUGACAUAGAACACCAAUUGCGAAGGCAGCUUGCUACAGGAAUAUUGACACUGAGGCACGAAAGCGUGGGGAUCAAACAG
rnacentral:rRNA from 1 species